AUCAACUGUCACCCAGGGGGGGUAACUGAACUCCAAAGGUUAUGGAGAUAGACCACCAAAGGUAUAGAUGAUGUUGUUGCAGAGAAAAAGUGGCAACCAAAAAAGCUAAGGAAGAAGAUGGACAUGUGGAGAUCUAGGGGGAGAAGAUGAUUCCUAAACUACAUUCCUAUUUGUCACGGGGGAAGAUUGUAUCAGUAAAAGUAGAAUCUUGGAUUUGAGUUUGGUAUGUGUAUGUGUAUGUGAAUUAGAGUACAGUCUGCCAACAGAUCUGAUAAGUGGAACUUGACAAUGGCUACAGUAAAAACACAGGAGGACACAAAGAUUUAAAGACAGAAACUGGAAAAAAAAAUCAUCCUUCAACCAAAUCCAUUAUGGCAGUUAUUAUGAUUUCAAGAAAGAAAGAAGUCAUAAUAGUAUCAAGGUACAAUAUCAAGCCUGAAGAUUCAGGAGUGGAGACCACACGUGGACUUCGGGGGAAUCAUUAAUGAUGCUCCCUUACCUCUAUAGAGUGCAAACAGCUUUACAUACGUUUGUCAAUCUCCAUAAUAACCCUGGCCUAUAGUGAAAGGUAUUUUUAUUCAUUUUACGAAUGAAUAAACCAAACUCAUAGUACUGAAGUAGUUGCUGA
rnacentral:lncRNA from 1 species